UACAGAGGGGGCGAGCGUUGUUCGGAAUUACUGGGCGUAAAGGGCGCGUAGGCGGCCCGCUAAGUCGAACGUGAAAUCCCCAGGCUCAACCUGGGAACGCUGCGCAUACUGGCAGGCUUGAAUCCGGGAGAGGGAUGUGGAAUUCCAGGUGUAGCGGUGAAAUGCGUAGAUAUCUGGAGGAACACCGGUGGCGAAGGCGGCAUCCUGGACCGACACUGACACUGAGGAGCGAAAGCCAGGGGAGCAAACGGG
rnacentral:rRNA from 1 species